CUAUACUGCAGUCGAGCGGACCGACGGGAGCUUGCUCCCUUAGGUCAGCGGCGGACGGGUGAGUAACACGUGGGUAACCUGCCUGUAAGACUGGGAUAACUCCGGGAAACCGGGGCUAAUACCGGAUGCUUGAUUGAACCGCAUGGUUCAAUCAUAAAAGGUGGCUUUUAGCUACCACUUGCAGAUGGACCCGCGGCGCAUUAGCUAGUUGGUGAGGUAACGGCUCACCAAGGCGACGAUGCGUAGCCGACCUGAGAGGGUGAUCGGCCACACUGGGACUGAGACACGGCCCAGACUCCUACGGGAGGCAGCAGUAGGGAAUCUUCCGCAAUGGACGAAAGUCUGACGGAGCAACGCCGCGUGAGUGAUGAAGGUUUUCGGAUCGUAAAACUCUGUUGUUAGGGAAGAACAAGUACCGUUCGAAUAGGGCGGCACCUUGACGGUACCUAACCAGAAAAGCCACGGCUAACUACGGUGCCAGCAGCCGCGGUAAUACGUAGGUGGCAAGCGUUGUCCGGGAAUUAUUGGGCGUAAAGCGCGCGCAGGCGGUUUCUUAAGUCUGAUGUGAAAGCCCCCGGCUCAACCGGGGAGGGUCAUUGGAAACUGGGGAACUUGAGUGCAGAAGAGGAGAGUGGAAUUCCACGUGUAGCGGUGAAAUGCGUAGAGAUGUGGAGGAACACCAGUGGCGAAGGCGACUCUCUGGUCUGUAACUGACGCUGAGGCGCGAAAGCGUGGGGAGCGAACAGGAUUAGAUACCCUGGUAGUCCACGCCGUAAACGAUGAGUGCUAAGUGUUAGAGGGUUUCCGCCCUUUAGUGCUGCAGCAAACGCAUUAAGCACUCCGCCUGGGGAGUACGGUCGCAAGACUGAAACUCAAAGGAAUUGACGGGGGCCCGCACAAGCGGUGGAGCAUGUGGUUUAAUUCGAAGCAACGCGAAGAACCUUACCAGGUCUUGACAUCCUCUGACAACCCUAGAGAUAGGGCUUCCCCUUCGGGGGCAGAGUGACAGGUGGUGCAUGGUUGUCGUCAGCUCGUGUCGUGAGAUGUUGGGUUAAGUCCCGCAACGAGCGCAACCCUUGAUCUUAGUUGCCAGCAUUCAGUUGGGCACUCUAAGGUGACUGCCGGUGACAAACCGGAGGAAGGUGGGGAUGACGUCAAAUCAUCAUGCCCCUUAUGACCUGGGCUACACACGUGCUACAAUGGGCAGAACAAAGGGCAGCGAAGCCGCGAGGCUAAGCCAAUCCCACAAAUCUGUUCUCAGUUCGGAUCGCAGUCUGCAACUCGACUGCGUGAAGCUGGAAUCGCUAGUAAUCGCGGAUCAGCAUGCCGCGGUGAAUACGUUCCCGGGCCUUGUACACACCGCCCGUCACACCACGAGAGUUUGUAACACCCGAAGUCGGUGAGGUAACCUUUUGGAGCCAGCCGCCGAAGGUGGGACAGAUGAUUGGGGGAAGUCGUAACAAGUAGC
rnacentral:rRNA from 1 species